GGACCCGCACAAGCGGUGGAGCAUGUGGUUUAAUUCGAAGCAACGCGAAGAACCUUACCAGGUCUUGACAUCCUUUGACCACUCUAGAGAUAGAGCUUUCCCUUCGGGGACAAAGUGACAGGUGGUGCAUGGUUGUCGUCAGCUCGUGUCGUGAGAUGUUGGGUUAAGUCCCGCAACGAGCGCAACCCUUAUUACUAGUUGCCAGCAUUUAGUUGGGCACUCUAGUGAGACUGCCGGUGACAAACCGGAGGAAGGUGGGGAUGACGUCAAAUCAUCAUGCCCCUUAUGACCUGGGCUACACACGUGCUACAAUGGAUGGUACAACGAGUCGCAAGGUCGCGAGGCCAAGCUAAUCUCUUAAAGCUAUUCUCAGUUCGGAUUGUAGGCUGCAACUCGUCUACAUGAAGCCGGAAUCGCUAGUAA
rnacentral:rRNA from 1 species